AUGUUAGUUUCAUUUUACAGAGAGUCUAGAAAAGUUGGCAAACCUGUGGACCAAGCCAUUCCUAGAGCUGGCAACAAACCCUGGCAGUCACAGCUGUCACUCCCAGAUAAUUUGUCUCGUGGGACCAAAAGAGAAGAGACCAAUAAAGAAGAAGGAUGCAAAGUUCUGCAAGGAACAAGACAGCUAAGCACUGGUCUUGGCUGGAUGGAGCAACUAAGUAAUGAAAAGCAAUUUGAAGGAAUUUAGCAGAAUGCUUCACUAGAUGAGACAGAAGUUUGUAAAGUUGAAGGUUGGAAACAGCUGCUAUAUUUGCCAGUUUUCAAAAGACAAGCAAAUUAAACUCUACAAAGUUAAAAUAGCAUUCAGUUUCUUGCUGUAUGUAUAUAGUAAAAACUGUAUUUGGUUAAAUAAUUGUAAAGCUUCUUAUGCUGCUAUCUAAACACUGUUUAUUAUUCUUCCAGCAUUGCAUCCUUCUAUCAAUCAAAAAUAUAUGCCUUUCUUAACAUCUCCUGCUCAGUCCAAUUUUGCUUAGUAAUUCUUCCAAUAAGUAUUUGCAAACGAGCUUUUUUUCAGACAUGACACCAGAAAAAUGCAUUUGAAAGAGAAACAUGUGAGAGAAAAGAUAUUGUGCCAAGGUGUUAAUUAAUUAAUUUUUAUAUUAAUUCAACCUUCUAAUGAC
rnacentral:lncRNA from 1 species